UUUUAAAUUAUUUCUAUCAUCUACUAUGAUUUUUGCAGAUUCUGAAAUGAGGAUGAAGAUUUUAUGUAUGAUAGUGAUCAUGAUACACAAUCUGAAUUAGAUGAAGAAGAAGAUAUAUUAGCUGAAACAGAUAAUAAGCUUAAGUAUUAUUUAGCUAAAAAUAAGGUUACUUAAUGGAAAAAGUUGUAAGUCAAAAUUAUAAUCAAUAUGAAAGUUUUACAAAAGAAGUUGAUAUAACUGAAUUCAAAGCAUUAUUGGGAAUUCUUUAUUUAGCUGGAAUUUUUAAAUCUAACCAUCAAAAUAUGUCUGAUUUAUGGAAAUCUGAUGGGUUUGGAAUUGAUAUAUUUAGAGUAACAAUGCCUCUUAAAAGAUUCAGAUUUCUAAUUCAUGCAAUGAGAUUUGAUGACAUAUUAACAAGAGAAGAGAGAAAUGUGGUAGACAAAGCAACACACAUUAGAUAUAAAUGUUUUUGUCAAAUAUGCAAAAUAAAUUUAUGUUUAGA